rnacentral:rRNA from 1 species
AACGAACGCUGGCGGCAGGCCUAAACAUGCAAGUUGAACGGUUGUAGCAAUACAACGAGUAGCGGACGGGUGAGUAAUGUAUGGGAACAUGUCCUUUAGUGGGGAAUAGCUUCUGGAAACGGGAGGUAAUACCGCAUAAGACCUGAGGGUGAAAGCAUUUAUGCGCUAAAGGGUUGGCCCAUAUCAGAUUAGCUAGUUGGUUAGGUAAAAGCUGACCAAGGCGACGAUCUGUAGCUGGUUUGAGAGGAUGAUCAGCCACAUUGGGACUGAGACACGGCCCAAACUCCUACGGGAGGCAGCAGUUAGGAAUAUUGGACAAUGGGGGGCAACCCUGAUCCAGCCAUGCCGCGUGAGUGAAGAAGGCCUUCGGGUUGUAAAGCUCUUUUGGUAUGGGAAGAUGAUGACGG